rnacentral:rRNA from 1 species
AGCGAACGCUGGCGGCAGGCUUAACACAUGCAAGUCGAACGGGCAUCUUCGGAUGUCAGUGGCAGACGGGUGAGUAACACGUGGGAACGUACCCUUCGGUUCGGAAUCACUCAGGGAAACUUGAGCUAAUACCGGAUACGCCCUUUUGGGGAAAGGUUUACUGCCGAUGGAUCGGCCCGCGUCUGAUUAGCUUGUUGGUGGGGUAACGGCCUACCAAGGCGACGAUCAGUAGCUGGUCUGAGAGGAUGAUCAGCCACACUGGGACUGAGACACGGCCCAGACUCCUACGGGAGGCAGCAGUGGGGAAUAUUGGACAAUGGGCGCAAGCCUGAUCCAGCCAUGCCGCGUGAGUGAUGAAGGCCUUAGGGUUGUAAAGCUCUUUUGUCCGGGACGAUAAUGACGGUACCGGAAGAAUAAGCCCCGGCUAACUUCGUG